UAAGUCGAGGCCGAGAGGCGUAGACGAUGGAUAACAGGUUGAGAUUCCUGUACUAGUUAAGUGCGUUUGAGCAAUGGAGGGACGCAGGAGGCUAAGAUGUGCAUUCUGUUGGAUUAGAAUGUCCAAGCAGUAAGUCUUGUGAAGAGUCAAAUGCUUUUCACUUUAAGGACAAGCUGUGAUGGGGAGCGAAAUUUAGUAGCGAAGCGUCUGAUGUCACACUGCCGAGAAAAGCUUCUAGUGAGUACUUAACUACCCGUACCGCAAACCGACACAGGUAGUCGAGGAGAGAAUCCUAAGGUGAGCGAGUGAACUCUCGUUAAGGAACUCGGCAAAAUGACCCCGUAACUUCGGGAGAAGGGGUGCUGAUCGCAAGAUCAGCCGCAGUGAAUAGGCCCAGGCGACUGUUUAUCAAAAACACAGGUCUCUGCAAAAUCGUAAGAUGACGUAUAGGGGCUGACGCCUGCCCGGUGCUGGAAGGUUAAAAGGAUGGGUUAGCUUCGGCGAAGCUCAGAAUUGAAGCCCCAGUAAACGGCGGCCGUAACUAUAACGGUCCUAAGGUAGCGAAAUUCCUUGUCGGGUAAGUUCCGACCCGCACGAAAGGCGUAACGAUCUGGGCACUGUCUCAACGAGAGACUCGGUGAAAUUAUAUUGUCCGUGAAGAUGCGGACUACCCGCGACAGGACGGAAAGACCCCAUGGAGCUUUACUGUAGCUUGAUAUUGAGUGUUUGUACAGCUUGUACAGGAUAGGUAGGAGCCAUAGAAACCGGAACGCUAGUUUCGGUGGAGGCGUUGGUGGGAUACUACCCUCGCUGUAUGACCACUCUAACCCGCACCACUAAUCGUGGUGGGAGACAGUGUCAGGUGGGCAGUUUGACUGGGGCGGUCGCCUCCUAAAAAGUAACGGAGGCGCCCAAAGGUUCCCUCAGAAUGGUUGGAAAUCAUUCGCAGAGUGUAAAGGCACAAGGGAGCUUGACUGCGAGACAGACAGGUCGAGCAGGGACGAAAGUCGGGCUUAGUGAUCCGGUGGUACCGUAUGGAAGGGCCAUCGCUCAACGGAUAAAAGCUACCCUGGGGAUAACAGGCUUAUCUCCCCCAAGAGUCCACAUCGACGGGGAGGUUUGGCACCUCGAUGUCGGCUCAUCGCAUCCUGGGGCUGUAGUCGGUCCCAAGGGUUGGGCUGUUCGCCCAUUAAAGCGGUACGCGAGCUGGGUUCAGAACGUCGUGAGACAGUUCGGUCCCUAUCCGUCGCGGGCGUAGGAAAUUUGAGAGGACCUGUCCUUAGUACGAGAGGACCGGGAUGGACAUACCUCUGGUGUACCAGUUGUGCCGCCAGGCGCAUCGCUGGGUAGCUACGUAUGGAUGUGAUAAACGCUGAAAGCAUCUAAGUGUGAAACACACCUCGAGAUGAGAUUUCCCAUUCCUUUAUGGAAGUAAGACCCCUGAAAGAUGAUCAGGUAGAUAGGUUAGAAGUGGCAGUGCGGUGACGCAUGAAGCGGACUAAUACUAAUCGGUCGAGGACUUAACCAAG
rnacentral:rRNA from 2 species